rnacentral:rRNA from 1 species
GGGGGAUAUUGCACAAUGGGGGAAACCCUGAUGCAGCAACGCCGCGUGAGUGAAGAAGGCCUUCGGGUCGUAAAACUCUGUUAUAAGGGAAGAAUAAUGACGGUACCUUAAGAGGAAGCCCCGGCUAACUACGUGCCAGCAGCCGCGGUAAUACGUAGGGGGCAAGCGUUAUCCGGAAUCACUGGGCGUAAAGGGUGCGUAGGCGGUUUCUUAAGUCAGAGGUGAAAGGCUACGGCUCAACCGUAGUAAGCCUUUGAAACUGGGGAACUUGAGUGCAGGAGAGGAGAGUGGAAUUCCUAGUGUAGCGGUGAAAUGCGUAGAUAUUAGGAGGAACACCAGUGGCGAAGGCGACUCUCUGGACUGCAACUGACGCUGAUGCACGAAAGCGUGGGGAGCGAAC